GAUGAACGCUGGCGGCGUGCCUAAUACAUGCAAGUCGAGCGAACAGAUGAGGAGCUUGCUCCUCUGACGUUAUCAGCGGACGGGUGCGUCACAUGUGGAUAACAUAACUAUAAGACUGGGAUAACUUCGGCAAACCGGAUCUACUACCGGAAAAUAUAUUGAACCGCAUGGUUCAAUCGUUAAAGACGGUUUUGCUUUCACUUAUAGAUUGAUCCGCGCCUCAUUAGCUAGUUGGUAAGGUAACGGCUUACCAAGGCAACGAUGCGUAGCCGACCUGAGAGGGGGAUCGGCCACACUGGAACUGAGACACGGUCCAGACUCCUAGGGGAGGCAGCAGUAGGGAAUCUUCCGCGAUGGGCGAAAGGCUGACGGAGCAACGCCGCGUGAGUGAUGAAGGUCUUCGGAUCGUAAAACUCUGUUAUUAGGGAAGAACAAAAGUGUAAGUAACUAUGCACGUCUUGACGGUACCUAAGCAGAAAGCCACGGCUAACUACGUG
rnacentral:rRNA from 1 species